UUAUUUUUUUUUAUUUUU
rnacentral:misc_RNA from 1 species